AUCAUUUUGUCUUUCGCCCAAUGUCAACAGACCUUUUUUCGUCUCCCUGCUUGCUCGCUUGUGUUCUUUCUCUUUGACAGUGCAGCUUCUUCACCGAUCGACUCGGAUCACUUUCGUUGUCUAUAACCUCUCUGAUUCUUGUGC
ensembl:ncRNA K07C5.16 ncRNA